rnacentral:rRNA from 1 species
AGAUGCACAUUUUGACGUUAGCUGCAGAAGAAGCACGGGCUAACUCCGUGCCAGCAGCCGCGGUAAUACGGAGGGUGCGAGCGUUAAUCGGAAUUACUGGGCGUAAAGCGCAUGCAGGUGGUUUGUUAAGUCAGAUGUGAAAGCCCGGGGCUCAACCUCGGAACUGCAUUUGAAACUGGCAGGCUAGAGUACUGUAGAGGGGGGUAGAAUUUCAGGUGUAGCGGUGAAAUGCGUAGAGAUCUGAAGGAAUACCGGUGGCGAAGGCGGCCCCCUGGACAGAUACUGACACUCAGAUGCGAAAGCGUGGGGAGCAAACAGGAUUAGAUACCCUGGUAGUCCACGCCGUAAACGAUGUCUACUUGGAGGUUGUGGCCUUGAGCCGUGGCUUUCGGAGCUAACGCGUUAAGUAGACCGCCUGGGGAGUACGGUCGCAAGAUUAAAACUCAAAUGAAUUGACGGGGGCCCGCACAAGCGGUGGAGCAUGUGGUUUAAUUCGAUGCAACGCGAAGAACCUUACCUACUCUUGACAUCCAUAGAACUUAGCAGAGAUGCUUUGGUGCCUUCGGGAACUAUGAGACAGGUGCUGCAUGGCUGUCGUCAGCUCGUGUUGUGAAAUGUUGGGUUAAGUCCCGCAACGAGCGCAACCCUUAUCCUUGUUUGCCAGCACUUCGGGUGGGAACUCCAGGGAGACUGCCGGUGAUAAACCGGAGGAAGGUGGGGACGACGUCAAGUCAUCAUGGCCCUUACGAGUAGGGCUACACACGUGCUACAAUGGCGCAUACAGAGGGCGGCCAACUUGCGAGAGUGAGCGAAUCCCAAAAAGUGCGUCGUAGUCCGGAUUGGAGUCUGCAACUCGACUCCAUGAAGUCGGAAUCGCUUGUAAUCGUGGAUCAGAAUGCCACGGUGAAUACGUUCCCGGGCCUUGUACACACCGCCCGUCACACCAUGGGAGUGGGCUGCAAAAGAAGCAGGUAGUUUAACCUUCGGGAGGAC